rnacentral:lncRNA from 1 species
AAGAAAUGCAUCUGCAUAAGAAGCUGUACCAGCAUAACAAGGGAUAGCAUGAUUACACUUAGGCUAAUAUGUCUCCUCGUGGCACAGGCCCUUCAGGCUUUUCUUUGACCUAGCAGAGCUGACUCAAAGUUGCUUUCCUCCAUUCUCUCCCUCUCUUCUCUUCCCCAGAGGAGAUGAGGACCAAGCUGUGUUUCASAUACUACCUCACAAGCAAUUGUGGAGAACUCUUUCCCCAUAAGAAUGUCACCUGUAAGAGCUCCUGACUGGGGAAGCUAGUUACCAGUCUAUACCUGGAAAUCUUUUAAAAAUUGGCGUGACAGAAAGAAACGUUGAACUACCUGACAAGCAGUGCUGCGAAGGACGUCCUUUUUAGCAGGAUGCCAGGAAGAAGCAUGACGAGUGGAGCUCCUGGGCACUUCUUCACAACCUUCCCUCACAAGCAGGCAGGUUGGUGCUAUUCUUUUGCAUUCAGGAUCAUGUUUAUUCCCGGAAAUACAAAGAUAACUUAGGGUCAAAUGUUCUUCAGGCAAGGGAAAUACUAUCUCGGUCUUAGAUCACAGUCAUGGUUUUUGCUAGCUAAAAUCAAUUUGUAAGCACAGGGCUGAACAGCCUGGAUCAGCAAAUAGCAGCUGAAUGUAAAUAGUGACAAAACAAAUGGAAAUGAUGGAUAAAAGCCAAUUUGAGAAAACUCUGUGAUCUUUCUCUGUUCAGAUAUCUUUGGGCAAUGAGGGGAGGGGCUGCUGUAAAACUCAAGAUCUGGAUCCCUUCAUGAACUGCCAGAUGAAGACACUGCAAGGCAGAUAUUAUCAGUUCUGACUACRGAUUGGGUAUAAUCCUGCCAUAAGGAUUACCCUAUUUUCCUGAACCUGUCUUCCGGAUUUUCUGCAUGUUUUCCUUUGCCCGCUGAUCCCAGGAAGCGGGUCUCACAGUAUAGAUACAGUUGUAGUUUUGC